AUCUGCAGCUGGCAAAACCAUGCCUCUGCUGAAGCAUGAGACUAAUUAUAGUCUGCUGCUGUGGACAGUCAGAAGCAGCCCCAUAUUCUCGCACCCGGGAUUAAAAUAAAACAUAUUCUUAUAAUAUUACUGUGAUUUCAAAGAAGCCAAAAUUCCAAAGUUCUUACUACCCUGGAUCCCUCACAAGAACUGAGUGAGGACUGUUGAGGGAGGGAGGACCCCCACAACCUCUGAGGCUUUCCAUGCAAGGAUUAACUUAGUUAUUUUAAGCAUUGCUCUCAAUUUUGGCAAAGAGAAUAAAAGUGUUCACUAAAUUAUUCAUAUCUUUACUCUCUUAAUAUUCAAAGACAUUGGAAAAUGAGGGGAAUUUCUCUAUUAGAGGUCAGCCGAGACAUGCACCUGUUUCGGUAUGGAAGGUUUGCUCUCCCAGCUUUCCUUUGCAAAGAGCUGUCUUGUUCACAGAGCUGCCUCUGGAGGGGAGCAUGGCAGGCCUAAUGGGUGUUUCUAUGGGGUUACAAUGGCCUCAUCUGUCCAUGGAACAUUCCUAAGACUGCUAAUGGUUUCUGGAGAACCCCUUUUUCAGUGACAAGGGUGGCUGCUUCUCUUGUUCCCUUGCUCUCCAGUUUCCUGUAUUUCCAGUGGAGAUCCAGUGCUGAACAGAUGGCUUUGAUACAGGACUCACAUUAGUGUUUGCAUCCCUGGUGACGUCCACCCCAAGCUGACACUGCACCUGUGUCACAGCUCGUUCUGAAAAGAGCAUGCAGUGGGAUGAAAAAUUCCAGCUCUAUUAUAUCAAAAAAAGUGUUACCUUGAUACUUAAAUGUGCCCCAACUGGGACAUCAUCAGUUAUUAUGAUGACAACAGCCACAAAGACAUAUACAGUGGACACAGGUGUGAAAGGCCAAGGCAGACUCCUGAAGGAACGUUUCACUGAAGCAGACACAGGAGAGAUGAUGUUCCGCUAAAGGAAGCACGUGAAAGGACACAUGAUGAAGGAUUUCUUGCUAACAUCACAUAUGUAUCGGUCUGCUUUACAUUGUGUAAUUGAGCUCCAUUUGUCGGGACUCCAUAGAGAGAAUUGCACAAAAAAAAAAAAAACAAAAAAAAAAAAAAAAAC